rnacentral:rRNA from 1 species
GACGAACGCUGGCGGCGUGCCUAAUACAUGCAAGUCGAACGCUUCUUUCCUCCCGAGUGCUUGCACUCAAUUGGAAAGAGGAGUGGCGGACGGGUGAGUAACACGUGGGUAACCUACCCAUCAGAGGGGGAUAACACUUGGAAACAGGUGCUAAUACCGCAUAACAGUUUAUGCCGCAUGGCAUAAGAGUGAAAGGCGCUUUCGGGUGUCAUUGAUGGAUGGACCCGCGGUGCAUUAGCUAGUUGGUGAGGUAACGGCUCACCAAGGCCACGAUGCAUAGCCGACCUGAGAGGGUGAUCGGCCACACUGGGACUGAGACACGGCCCAGACUCCUACGGGAGGCAGCAGUAGGGAAUCUUCGGCAAUGGACGAAAGUCUGACCGAGCAACGCCGCGUGAGUGAAGAAGGUUUUCGGAUCGUAAAACUCUGUUGUUAGAGAAGAACAAGGACGUUAGUAACUGAACGUCCCCUGACGGUAUCUAACCAGAAAGCCACGGCUAACUACGUG